rnacentral:pre_miRNA from 1 species
AAAGUACUCCCUCCGUCCCAAAAUUCUUGUCUUAGAUUUGUCUAGAUACGGAUGUAUCAAGUCACAUUUUAGUAUUAGAUACAUCCNAUGUAUCAAGUCACAUUUUAGUAUUAGAUACAUCCGUAUCUAGACAAAUCUAAGACAAGAAAUUUGGGACAGAGGGAGUAGUUG